rnacentral:misc_RNA from 1 species
UGGGAGGAGGCUUAGAGUUCAAGAAAUCCAAUCUGGGUUUGGGGAUAGUCGGAGCUUGCAUACCUCCGUAUAAGGGAACGUGAAGGGUCAGGGUUGAAUUGGGUAGGACUCGGGCAUGGGAAAGCAGCGUAGAAUCAUUUAAAUGGGAUAAUUGAAAGCUUUGGGAUAAGAACAAACGCUGAAGCGAGACGGGUAUGUGGGAAACCUCUUCGAUUGCGCGCUUCAGGUUAAAGAUGGAAGUAGUGGCAGGGUUUAGGUUAAGG